CAGCAGCCGCGGGAAUACGAAGGGUGCAAGCGUUACUCGGAAUUACUGGGCGUAAAGCGUGCGUAGGUGGUGGUUUAAGUCCGUUGUGAAAGCCCUGGGCUCAACCUGGGAAUUGCAGUGGAUACUGGGUCACUAGAGUGUGGUAGAGGAUAGUGGAAUUUCCGGUGUAGCAGUGAAAUGCGUAGAGAUCGGAAGGAACAUCUGUGGCGAAGGCGACUAUCUGGGCCAACGCUGACACUGAGGCACGAAAGCGUGGGGAGCAAACAGGAUUAGAUACCCCAGUAGUCCCUGUCUCUUAUAC
rnacentral:rRNA from 1 species